rnacentral:lncRNA from 13 species
CUCUCGCGUAGGGGGAUGUUCGGGGUGAGCUGCCGUACUCUGGCCAACGUAUCGCAGUUUCUGACUUGAUGUUUGUCCGCGUGGUACUCCCAGGGAUGGCUGUGCCCGUGGCAACCCACGAGGGUGCAAGCUGAACGUACUCGAAGGGACAUCUCGCGCAAAAGAAAGAUAAGAUAAAGCAGACAGGUGGCAGAAGCGAUGGAUCGAAGAGAAAGAGAGAAAGCGAAAAGACGAGUGAAAGAAAGGAAAAAGCUGAGAGAGAUGAAAAGAGGGAAAACACGCGGCAAAGGAGGAAUUAUCGAUACAGCACGGUGACGGCGAUCUGCCACGCUUGCGCCUUCUUGCUUCGAGAAAUAGUCCGGGCCUUUCCCUUCUUUCUUUUGCACCGACACUUGGACUCUGCGUCGUCCAGUCGCGGAACUCAAGAGACCCCUGGGAGUUUACAUAGAAGUCGGACUCGAUGGGACCGAACGUUUUUUUCAACAGAUACUUCGCGACGGCAGCGUAGAGUGUUAAAACUCGAGGACAUGAUUGAGUUUCAUCGAGAAAAAGAUUCAGCGGAAACGGUCACUCAGUGUAAACUUGAUGAAAUGAUAUCCGAUUAACGAUACAAUGAUUGAUAAAGCGAGAAGAGGACAGUAAUGGACUAACUUAAUUCACGCCGUAAAAGGGCUGGCGAUAUUUUGGCACAAAAGACUACAUGUCACGCGUUUUGAUGAUGAAAGUUCGUGAUGCUUAUCGCUUUUAUAUACGCCAUGAAUGAAACUACCGAGUCGCAUGAUCGAUUAUCGGCUGAUGGUUUACUACCCUCGCGAGAUCUCUCGCCCCUUUGACACAAUAUAACGCAGAGACCAGAUGCUCCCUCGUACGGCAGGGGAGUUCAUGAUUCAUGGUCAAUUUAAAAGGAUAAGAGGAUGUUCAUGCAAAUUCAUAGUCAAGGAUUAGUUUACAUAGUUUCUCAUAGAUUUCAAAUUCCUUUUUGCUUCUUUUUUUCUUCUCUUGGAGAGAAUGGAGAAAUUCGUGAAUUUAAAAAUCAGUCGAGCGUAUUAUAAUUAAAAAAAACCAUUGUAAUUUAUAUUUUUUUAUCGGGAAAUAUACACCGUUAUAUUAUAUCGUUAUAAAUUACGUUUCGAGCCGCUGAAAGUUAGCACGCGUGAAUUGCUGCAUUAAAAAAGCAGAGGCAAAAACGAUAUUGGCACCUCGGCGCUACCGGCGAUGUGAAAAGAAGCGAGUGCAGCGUAUCUGUAUGAAAACAGGUGGAAGUCAAACGUAAUUCAAUUACGGGAUAAUCGUAUUGCCUCGAGAUUCGUACUCGGGCAUUCGGGUGAACUAUUGAGUGAUUAAAAAUAAUACCCGACAACGCGCGCGCAGUCGAAGUUCGCUCACGUGUACGCAAACGCGGAAACCCACCCAAGAGUCACGCUUUAUGUGAAGUCAACCUUUUUCUUUCUUUUUUUUUUUAUUCGCUACAUCCUAUUAUGCCACUUUGAUCCUAUUACGAAUAAUAAUCUUUGUGUAUUACAAAGAUCCUACGUGUAUUCAAAACUUGUACUCAAAAUGUAAUUAAUUAGAAUAAAAGUACUUUCUUUGAA